UUCCAGUUUAGCACAGAAUAAAAUCUGGACUGUAUGUGUUUGUGAAGAUUUUGUGUCUACAUGGUCAUCAGCCAAGAAGGGAUUUUGAAAAUAGAAGAGGAGGCAUCAACACCGUAAACAUCAUGGCUGAGUUAUUUUGUGAGAAGGAUAAGCCUAAAGUAAAAAUCUUGGAUUUGCCUAUGUCCUUGAA